rfam:Salmo salar isolate Sally breed double haploid chromosome ssa14, whole genome shotgun sequence.
UCCUGUGUGGCUCAGUUGGUAGAGCAUGGUGUUUGCAACGCCAGGGUUGUGAGUUCGAUUCCCACGGGGG